rnacentral:lncRNA from 1 species
GCCGUCUCGUGGCACGUGUUGGUCGGGAUCAUAUUGGAUGAGGCUGAUCUAAGCGAUGCCUAGGCGCGCGGCGCUUGCUGGGCCGUGGCAAGAGUCAGGGCCUCGUCGAGAGCGGGCAUCACAAGGUCGCCGAGGAUGCCGACAGAGUCGCGGCUCAAAGGCAACAACCAGAGGUUGCUCUGCGCCAGCAGGUUCUCUAGCGGAGCCAACAAGAAGGGCGACCCUCGCUGUGCGGCCGCGCAUGUUUGCGGUGCCUGAUACAGUGUGGCCUCGUCGGCUAUCCCUCGCAGCACCUGAAACAUGACCCGUCGGUCCUCUCCCAGAUCCUCUUGGAGAGAGCGCACCGCGUCAUCUGCUCCUUCCGGCACCUCCAUCCACGCGCCAAGGACGAUAUCUUUUGGCGGUCGCCCCAAGAAGGUCGCCAACCGGUCGCGGUUCACCGUGCCCAACCACCGCAGACGAUGCACCGAGUCUGUAUCCAACGGCGGGCUCCCAUGUGCCAGGUGCAGCAGGUCGUGGCGCCUGAUCGACAAGCAGACCAAAGGCAUGACCGAUGGUCCGUUCCACCCGAGGAUCUGAUCGUAGCGCGCGGCAACGGGAAGGCGCGGCCUAUCCUCGGCGUCCACCAGUACGUCGUCAGUGCCCACGGUCCAGUGGCGCCAUUGCGCGACCACGCCAGGUAGAUCGUCGGCGAGCGGUCCCGACAGGGACGCGCGCGCAUCAAAGGCCGUGCCCAGACUGGAGGCGAGCAUCUCCCAAUAUUCUGCCGGCAUCUUUUCCAAAUCGGCAUGGGCGAUACCGUCGGUAAUAAGCGCGGAGUAGACGAGUCUGCCGGUGGGUCCGCGUGGCGCAUCGGGCUGUGCAGUGGCGACAACGGCAUCCAGACCGUCAAAGGGCGCCGAAAAGCCCAGGGCCUGCUCGAUGCCGGUGGUCUCGUCGACUUGCAGAUCGGCAAAGGAGCGCAGCGUGCACAGGGCCGACGCCAAAAAGAGCCGAAUGGGAUCGCUCUCGCCCAGGACGGACGCCAGCCGCGCAUAGUCGAUGAGUGGCACGCGCUGGCGCACUAGCGUACCAUGGGAAUCGACGGCCGGGACGUCGCGAUGCAAUCGGCUGAUGACGGCGCGUGCGUCGCGGUUGCUCCCAUAGAGGGCCAUAACCGUGCGCAUAUCCAUCUCGGCCAGGCGCUCGGCCACUUGCAUGCGCAACUCGGGCGGAAGGUCGUGCCAGAUUGACGUGGGUGCCGACGGCUCGAUGGAUGCUCGGCAAAAGGCACCAGUGCGCUCCGAGUCUGGCAGUGCGGCACGCCUGCGCUUGACGCGCACAUUGGUCUCUGUCGACGCGUCCUGCAAGGCGACUGCGUCGGUCCACUCGUCGCCCAGUGCCUCGGGCAGGUAGAUUCGUGGAUCGCCCCAUGCGGGCAUGCCCAACUGGAUGGCGACAUUGACCAAAUGUCGAAUUUGCGCAGGCGAGAGUGUCUCGGGCGACUGGGCGCAGAGGCCGACGGCCGUGACGACCUCGGGUCGUACCAAUGGCGCGUGUCUCUUUUUUGUCGGCCGCUCUGUUGCAGUGCCCAUCUCCAUCGUCGCCAUUAUGGGCACUGCCGGCGGCGCGCCUUUUUUCCUCCGUCUUUUUUUCCCUCGUCUGUUUUCAAUUUUUUGUGUGGUAGUCAGACAAAAAGUCGACGGUCGGCGCUUGUAUGCCGGCGGCCUUUGGACAGAUUUUUGUCUUUGCCGCUCGCUCUGGCGUCGUGAUCUCUUU